CUCGGGAGACCAUGCUGGACUGCUGGAGUGCUGGUGCCGUGGUGCGUUCGCUCCCCACUCUGCUCGCGUGCUCUCUCUCUCUCUCUCUCAGUCCCGGCGACGACUCCGCUACCGUCGCCGCCCUACGCCGGGUUCCGAUGUCUUCGUGAGUCCCUUCUCCUGCAACGAGCACUCACCAGUUACCAGUGAUUUAUUGUGCUUGAGGACUGCAUCUCCCCUUGAAAUUUGAGGCUUUGGAAAACUGCUGAAUGGAGUAUUCUUCAAGUGAAGACGAGGAAUUGAUUGGAGAUUUUAUCGAUGCCGAGGGUAAUACAGCCACUGAGAAUAUUGACCAAGGAACUGGUAUGAUGGCUUCCCAGAUCCAUGAUGAUGAUCCCUCCGUGGGAUCCAUGCCACCUGUUAUUGGAAAUGAGCUGCUGAUGGCAGCUGAUGUUGUGGGCAAAAAUGAUGAACCACGUAUGGGCAUGGAAUUCGAGUCUGAUGCUGCUGCUCGGGCAUUCUACAAUGCAUAUGCUUUACGCUUUGGGUUUGGGAUUCGUGUUGCCCGGUCCCGUAGUGAGCGGAGAAAGGGUGUCGAGGUGCUCGUCAUGAAGCGUUUUGUGUGCUUGAAAGAGGGACAUCACAAGAAGAAGCCAGUUGAGCCUAGCAAUAAGAAGAAGAGGAAACGACUCUCUAUACGGGAUGGGUGCCCAGCGAUGAUGGAAGUGGUGCGUAGGGGCCCAGAUAAGUGGGUUAUCACGAAGCUGGUGCUGGAGCACACCCAUGUUAUUGUUAGUGCAGACCGGGCACGGGAGGUCCAACUCCGUCGCCUCUCUGGAAAGUUUCAGGAACAUGAGAACCAAUUGCAGGAGCUGCGAAGGAAUGUGUUUGGAGAUACUAAUGCGCAAGGGCUCUUUAACUACUUCAAGAAAAUGCAAUCAGAGAAUUCCAGCUUUUUCUUUUCUACACAAGUUGACAGUAAAAACUGUGUGAGCAAUGCAGUUUGGGUUGAUGCAAGAGCUAGAAUGGCAUACACAUACUUUGGGGAUGCUGUUUACUUCGACACUACUUAUAGUCAAAAUGAGAACAUGCUGCCCUUUGCAGCUUUCACAGGAGUUAAUCACCAUGGUGACACUGUUGUUUUUGGCUGUGCCUUAAUUUUGGACAGGACAGAAUCUUCAUACAGCUGGAUUUUUGAGACGUGGUUGACAGCAAUGGAUGAUCGGUUGCCAUUUUCCUUUACUACUGAUGAAGGUAAGGGAAUAGCAGCUGCUGUUGCAAAAGUAUUUCCUCAGUGUUUCCAUCGUCUUUGCAGAUGGCGCAUCUUGUCUAGAUGCAAGAAGAGACUGACUGAUGUCUGCACAAGAUUUCCUGGGUUACAUGAUGAGCUAAAGAGAUGUGUCAAUGGGUGUGAUACUGUGGCUGUUUUUGACAUGUUCUGGGGCUCUAUUCUUGACAAGUAUGGUCUGAAAGACGAUAACUGGCUGCAGUCACUGUAUGAAAUAAGGGACAGAUGGGUUCCUGCAUACCUAACCAGCUCCUUCUUCGCCGAGCUGUCCUUAACUCACAGAGUAGAAACAGUCAGUAGGUUUUAUAGGAAUAACUUCAGUUCAAGGGUUUCUCUGAAUACUUUUAUAAGUAGAUUUGAUCAAUAUAUAGACGGUCUGUAUGCAAGUGAAGCCCAGAAAGACAUCACUUCUUUUUCUCCUGAACAGUUUCUGAAAACCGAGACGGUCUUAGAAAAACAAGCGAGGAGUAUCUACACCAGAGCUGCCUUCGAAACAUUCCAGCUGGAAUUGGUUGAAGCAAUGCAACAUUAUGCCGUCAAGGUUCAGGACGGAUCAUACAUGAAAUACUACGUCGAAAGAAACGGUGAUCCUCCUACCAGGCAUACCGUCUUCUACAAUGUUGCUGAGAAGAAGGCCUGGUGCGAGUGCUGCAGGUUUGCUUUCUCGGCGAUACUGUGCAGGCAUGUCCUUAGUGUGUUCCUCUUGGUUGGUGUCAUCAUGCUUCCAGAGCCUUGCAUCACAAAGCGAUGGACAAAGAAGGCUAAGACAGGGCCUGAACUGUUUGGGCUUAACGUUGAAAAUGGAAGUGGCAGUGCAGACUCUGUGGCUUCAAGAUACAAUGAUCUUGUUCGUGAUGCGAUGAGGUGUGCAGAGAAGGGAGCUGUAUCAGCCGGCGCCUUCAGAGUUGCGAAGGAAGUGCUGCACAAAGCCUUCAUGGAGAUCAGGGGUCUUGGAGAGAAACUCAGAUAGCAGGGGUUCGUUGCUUUCGAGGGCAUCUGAGAGAUUAACCUGGCUAUCUUUAGCGAAAAGUUUGUUGAGCCAGCACGAGAAAGAACAUCACGUGCUUGCGACAGCGACUUAGCCGCAUGUCAGGUUGUCAUGAAAAUCCAGACUUGCUAGUGCAUCCUUCGAUCUUACCUGACUUUUUGUGGUAGCCCGGUACUUGUUUCUGGCUGCUCAUGACGGCACAAAUCACAGCUGCUGAUAUGCUGGAAUGGCCAAGUUUGUCGGAUGUUUCAUUGUUGUACAAUUUAUCAUUUUUAAAAGAAUAUCUGGCGGUGAGUUUGAUCUUGUACAAUUUAUUUACGCUUGUUUUCUGAAUCGUUCCUCUUCUAAGGGGGAUUUGUUCAGUUCAUGUGUUGCAAUUGCAAGCCUGAAGGUGUGAGGAGUGUUGAACUUCACUCGUCCACUCCGGGCCUGUGGCUAGAAAUUGGACAAGGCCCACCAGUAAUCUUCUGGCCCAAAUUUUAACACGCGCGAAAAAAAUCUGCCAAAAAAAAGGAAAUUGGUAAUAAAUAAAUAAAUAAUAUAGUACAACACGAAGGGAGAGAAACCAAACGAUGGCAGCAAUGGCCAACACCACAUCCUUCCGCUCCCGCCUGCUCGUCCUCCCACCGCCACCGGCGCCCCGCACCGCCGUGUCCUUUCGUCUCCGCCCAUGCGCUACCACGGUCUCCUCGUCCUCCCAGAGGAGGAGGAGGCCCCGCCUCGCGGCACGGGCGGCGCAGCCCGGCGGCGCUGUGGCCCCGGCGUCGGCCGCGUCGAAGGAGGAUGAGCAGGAGGAGAUUGGCAGCGGCGGGGGUCUGUCUGCGGCUGACGCAGAGAGGCUGUGUGAGUUCCUGCGGGCCGACCUGCCGCACCUGUUCGACGACGUCGGCAUCGACCGGUCUGCAUACGACGACCGCGUGCGGUUCCGGGACCCUAUCACCCGCCACGACACCAUCGACGGCUACCUCUUCAACAUCCGCCUCCUCAAGCUGCUCUUCCGCCCCGACUUCUACCUCCACGCCGUCAAGCAGACAGGGCCGUACGAGCUCACCACGAGGUGGACCAUGGUGAUGAAGUUUAUGCUCUUGCCCUGGAAGCCGGAGCUGGUCUUCACUGGCCUGUCGAUCAUGGGCGUCAACCCGCAGAAUCUCAAGUUCAACAGCCAUGUGGUUAACACUCUUGCUUAUCAGGCGAAAACUAGAUUAGUGUGGUUCGCGUCGGGCAGGCAUAAGACAUUGUGUUCAGUUCCCCUAUUUGGUACCACAUUGAGAUGAAACAUAUAAGAACACAUGCAAAUGAGGACAAUAGCACAUGUAAAGAGAUAAAGUAGUUACAAGUUGUCAGGUGAACUAGUUAAGCACACAGCAAAAAUUCUCAGAGGUUUCUCUGACAAGUUUCCUGCC